UGGUGGAGUGAUUUGUCUGGUUAAUUCCGAUAACGAACGAGACCUCAGCUUGCUAAUUAGUUGUGAGUAGAACAUUCGUUCUACUUUUUGACAACUUCUUAGAGGGACUAUCGGUGAUUAGCCGAUGGAAGUUUGAGGCAAUAACA
rnacentral:rRNA from 1 species